ensembl:lncRNA
CUGCUGGGCUCCCCCCCUCUCUAGCCUCCCAGGCCAACAUUGAGAGAACCUGUUACAAGUGACUCUGUUGGUUCUCCAGAUACUUUCUUCAGGAUCCAGAGCUUGGUUUCAACCUUGAACCCAAAGGAAAAGAUAGAGAAAGUGUCUCUGCAGAAUUCUUCUAAGGAACAGAAAAUACAUAUGGCUGUCUGGUGGACCUAACUAUAAACAUUGCCAUCACAUAAAUGAGAAGAAUUUUACAUGGAUAGAUGCUACUGGAAAUGUCAAUCAAGCCGACCAAUGCAGUGACAAAGAAAGAAAAGGAAAAAAUGCAUCCCCCAGCUACAUGCACAAAGACAAGAACAGUUUCUGCCAUUUUGAAGAUUAAUUUCUACUGAGGAGACUACAACCUGUAAAAGGAAAAUUGAGAUGGAAGGAAAUACCAACAGCUAGUGAGGAGGCUUCAUGAAAUGGGUACCACCUGAGGUGUAAUUUGUAAAAAUCAGCCCUUCUUUUUCCCCAUUGUUUAAUUACUAGCCUCCUAGUUGCCUAGAAGAGUUCAUCUGAUUCCCUAUCCAUUUAACAUUCCCAGAGAGGAGACCUGAGUCCUGGGGAAGAUGGGGCCCAUUAAAUUUGUUAAAACCCACAUGCAGAAAUAUGCACAUGUGCAAAUUUGCAGAUGGUCAAAUGAGUCCUACUCAAGUGUACAGACACAUUUAGAGCUAUCUGGAAUUAUUAGGACUUUUAGCUCUAACUUGAGAUAAGCAGAAUAAACUCUCUACUCAAAUGGGAACUAGUUGUGCUUUUCUAAAUCACCAAGUCAAAGGUCUUGAAGCUAGAUAUUCACAGGUGCUUUCUCAUGGCUUCAUUGUUAGUGUCUGAUGUUUAUGGCAAGUCACAUAAAUAAAAAUGAUGUUUUUAUUUAAAGCUAUAUAUACAUAUAUACUUACACACACAUAUAUAGUUCUUGCCAAAACUGGAGAACCAUUUUGAAACAUUCAAAAUGAAAUGACGUGUCAAAACAAUAAGAAAGUUUAUUAUAAUUAUAAUUAACAUAUAUGCAUAUGUAUAUGCAUAAA